rnacentral:rRNA from 1 species
GAUGAACGCUGGCGGCGUGCCUAAUACAUGCAAGUCGAGCGAACGGACGCGAAGCUUGCUUCUCUGAUGUUAGCGGCGGACGGGUGAGUAACACGUGGAUACCCUACCUAUCAGACUGGUAUAUCUUCGGGAAACCGGCGCUAAUCCCGGAUGAUAUUUUGCACCGCAUGGUUCAAUAGUGAAUGACGGUCUUGCUGUCACUUAUCGCUGGAUCUCAGCUGCAUUAGCUAGUUGGUAAGGUAACGGGUUACCAAGGCAACGAGGCAUAGCCGACCUGAUAGAGUGAUAGGCCACAUUAGAACGUGGACGCGGUCCAGGCGCCUGAGAGAGGCAGCAGAAGGGAAUCUGCCGCAAUGGGCGGAAGCCUGACGGAGCAACCGCGCGUGAGUGAUGAAGGUCUUCGGAGCGUAAAACUCGGUUAUGAGGGAAGAACAGAUGUGUAAUGAACUGUGCAGAUCGUGACGGUACCGAAUCAGAAAGCCACGGCUAACUACGUG